rnacentral:rRNA from 1 species
CUACAGGUGAUGCUUGGCCUGGGCUAGGGUGUGCAGUCUUAGGUUUCGUGAAACCGCGUUCAGUAAUUGGCGAGGCGUUUCGAGAAGUAGCAGGUGUUCGACUGGGGAAUUACCGGCCGAGGAGGUUUAGGGAGGGGUAGCGUUGUAGUUGUCGUCACCGCACUCUAAGGUGUCUAAGUAAGGUGCGGCAGCAAAGCCACAGCGAAGGAAGGGGCCGGGUCGAGGAGGGAGACAGGGAGGCUCUCCAGUCCUGAGUCGACCUCCUCUUUUCAGGUCGGGUUGAGAUAGCUGUAGAGAGGAAAAUUGCGGUCAGGUCCAGAGCGGCGGUAACGCGGUCCCUGAGAGCCUUGGGGCCACGAACCAGUAGCAGCGUCCAGAACAAGCAGAGGGCCCCGAGGGCAGCUCCAGCUAGGACCAACUCGUAGUAACUAAAUUUCCCUUGUACAAAGCCUUUUUCGUUCGAAGAGUAAAGCUAAGUCUACUACGACUCGUCUCUGUUCGUUUCUAGUUCCUUGAUUCUCGACGAGAACCCAGAAAUAGAUCGGCACCUCUUUUUAUAACGCUACUUCGUACGAACUAUUCUAUAGAGCUGCGGGCGUUGACCUUACAACUGUUCAGAUCUUUUUACGACUUUCUUUCAGAGUUCACCUCCCGUUGAUUCUCUGGACUCCUAUAAGCGACCGGGCUACAAAGGCAACUUCGUCUUUGUCCAUUUUACAUGUCCCGUUGAAAGUGUCUAUCUCUCCCGUCUUGACACCAACAUUACUCUGGGCGUUUCGUCUUAUGUAGCAGAGUGCUUCCCGUCAACGUUAUAGAACAUAUAUGGAACCUCUUACGUCAGGAGUCGGACGGACUUCCAGUACUGUUUUACCACACCGACUAUCUGAAGUGUCCUACCUGUGACCGGGUACGCUGGGGGAAGUUCUGACGGUCUCUGACAUACUUACAGGACGUUUUGGUAAUGGGCCUCUCCGAAAGUUAACGCAAAGACAAGUUAGGCGGGUUUCAUAAACUCCGAAGAAAGUUCCAAGAGUUUCAUGACCAACUGGGCUUUAGUCGGGUCUUCGACUUGAAACACAUGUUCCUCUUGCUUCUCUCGUACUUCUGUUACAUGUUGGUGUAACUAGGUCUUCAGGAAGGACGCCUCAAACCUCCCUUCUUGUUACGGCACAUGUUGGUACUUCUAAUGAGGUUCAACUACUGUUUCCUACUGUAGUUUUGCCGUUCGAAAACCCGUCGUCUACAAUUGGUACAGUAGUUGCACCUGAGCCAAGGACUCCAAUUCGGCGUCGGCAGUGAUUAACAACGAUUUCGCUCAACUCCUCGUAGCCGGUCGGUAGAAUAGACAAUAACGUUUUCAACCAACUCCUCGAAGUCAUUCGGCAACGGUGCCAAGAGCCAUGCCGAGACUUUCUCCUUACAUAUCUAUACAACUCCUACGAACCUAUUUAUUUACAUUGACGUCUUAUAGAGCGAACACUACAAUGUUUUUAUCAAUGAUGAUCAGAUAGGGGUUUAUUCACUAGAGUGUUGUUUUAGUAUAAGGGAACCGGUUCUUAAACUGCGUGACUUCUUAGGUUUCGGGAAACCGCGUACGGUCGCUACGGCCGUACAAUGAGGGGUCUCGCGAAGUGGCAGGUGUUCGACUGUGAGUUGGCGUUGUAGUUGUGGUUAACGCACUAAGGUGUCUAGGUUAGGUUCCGAAGCAAAGCCACAGUCCAGAACGGCCGUAACGCAGCCAUUUAGAGCGUUAGGGUGCAAGAACCAGUAUCAGCGUCCGGACCAGGCAGAGGGACCCCGAGGAGAGGAGAGGGCCAGCUAGGACCAACUCGUAGUAACUCUCAACUUCUUUUGUACAAAACCUCUUUCGUUCGAAGAGUAAAACUAAAUCUACUACGACUCGUCUCUGUUCGUUUCUAGUUCCUUGACUCUCGACGUGAACCCGGAAACAGGCGGACACCUCUUUUUAUAACGUUACUUCGUACGAACCAUUCUAUAGAGCUCCGAGCGUUGACCUUACAACUGUUCAGAUCUUUUUACGAACUUCUUUCAGAGUUCACCUCCCGUCGGUCCUCCGGACUCCUAUAAGUGACCGGCCUGCAAAGCCAUCUUCGUCUUUGCCCAUUUUACAUGUCCCGUGGAAAGUGUCUAUCUCUCCCCUCUUGGCACUAGCAUUACUCUGGACGUUUCGUCUUAUGUAGUAGAGUGCUUCCCGUCAACGUCAUAGAAUGUAUAUGGAACCUCUUACGUCGGGAGUUGGACGGAGUUCCAGUUCUGUUUUACCACACCGACUAUCUGAAGUGUCCUACCUGUGACCGGGUAUCUUCAGGGAAGUUCUGAAGGUCUCUCUCAUAUUCAUGGCACGUUUUGGUAAUGGGCCUCUCUGAGAGUCGACGUAAAUACAAGUUAGGCGGGUUUUAUAAACUCCGAAGAAAAUUCCAAGAGUUUCAGGACUAACUGGGCUUUAGCCGGGUCUUUGAAUUGAAACACAUGUUCCUCUUGCUCCUCUCGUACUUCUGUUACAUGUUGGUGUAACUAGGUCUUCAGGAAGGACAUCUCAAACCUCCCUUCUUGUUACAUCACAUGUUGGUACUUCUAAUGAGGUUCAACUACUGUUUCCUACUGUAGUUUUGCCGUUCGAAAACCCGUCGUCUACAAUUGGUACAGUAGUUGCACCUGAGCCAAGGACUCCAAUUCGGCUUCGGCAGUGAUUAACAACGAUUUCGUUCAACUCUUUGUAACCGGUCGGUAGAGUGUUCCACAACGAUUUCGUUUAACUCUACGUGGUCCGUCGGUAAUACUCGAAUGCUACCGGAAGUCACGUCAAGACUUUCUCCAUAUUUCUUUACGUUGACAUCUUAUAGAACGAUAUGAAAUGGUAGUAGUUUAUUCACUAAAGUAAUGAUAGG